GGGUUGUGAGGUUAAGUGACUAAGCGUACACGGUGGAUGCCUAGGCAGUCAGAGGCGAUGAAGGGCGUGCUAAUCUGCGAAAAGCGUCGGUAAGGUGAUAUGAACCGUUACAACCGGCGAUACCCGAAUGGGGAAACCCAGUGUGUUUCGACACACUAUCAUGUCAUGAAUACAUAGUGGCAUGAGGCGAACCGGGGGAACUGAAACAUCUAAGUACCCCGAGGAAAAGAAAUCAACCGAGAUUCCCCCAGUAGCGGCGAGCGAACGGGGAGGAGCCCAGAACCUGAAUCGGCUUGUGUGUUAGUGGAAGCGUCUGGAAAGUCGCGCAGCAAAGGGUGAUAGCCCCGUACACUAAAAUGCACAGGUCGUGAGUUCGAUGAGUAGGGCGGGACACGUGACAUCCUGUCUGAAUAUGGGGGGACCAUCCUCCAAGGCUAAAUACUCCUGACUGACCGAUAGUGAACCAGUACCGUGAGGGAAAGGCGAAAAGAACCCCGGCGAGGGGAGUGAAAUAGAACCUGAAACCGUGUACGUACAAGCAGUGGGAGCACCUUCGUGGUGUGACUGCGUACCUUUUGUAUAAUGGGUCAGCGACUUAUAUUUUGUAGCAAGGUUAACCGUAUAGGGGAGCCGUAGGGAAACCGAGUCUUAACUGGGCGAAUAGUUGCAAGGUAUAGACCCGAAACCCGGUGAUCUAGCCAUGGGCAGGUUGAAGGUUGGGUAACACUAACUGGAGGACCGAACCGACUAAUGUUGAAAAAUUAGCGGAUGACUUGUGGCUGGGGGUGAAAGGCCAAUCAAACCGGGAGAUAGCUGGUUCUCCCCGAAAGCUAUUUAGGUAGCGCCUCGUGAACUCAUCUUCGGGGGUAGAGCACUGUUUCGGCUAGGGGGCCAUCCCGGCUUACCAAACCGAUGCAAACUCCGAAUACCGAAGAAUGUUAUCACGGGAGACACACGGCGGGUGCUAACGUCCGUCGUGAAGAGGGAAACAACCCAGACCGCCAGCUAAGGUCCCAAAGUCAUGGUUAAGUGGGAAACGAUGUGGGAAGGCAUAGACAGCCAGGAUGUUGGCUUAGAAGCAGCCAUCAUUUAAAGAAAGCGUAAUAGCUCACUGGUCGAGUCGGCCUGCGCGGAAGAUGUAACGGGGCUAAACCAUGCACCGAAGCUGCGGCAGCGACGCUUAGGCGUUGUUGGGUAGGGGAGCGUUCUGUAAGCCGUUGAAGGUGGCCUGUGAGGGUUGCUGGAGGUAUCAGAAGUGCGAAUGCUGACAUAAGUAACGAUAAAGCGGGUGAAAAGCCCGCUCGCCGGAAGACCAAGGGUUCCUGUCCAACGUUAAUCGGGGCAGGGUGAGUCGACCCCUAAGGCGAGGCUGAAAAGCGUAGUCGAUGGGAAACAGGUUAAUAUUCCUGUACUUGGUGUUACUGCGAAGGGGGGACGGAGAAGGCUAGGCUAGCCGGGCGACGGUUGUCCCGGUUUAAGCGUGUAGGGGGUGUGACCUGGUAAAUCCGGUUGCAUAUCAACCCUGAGGCGUGAUGACGAUGCACUACGGUGCAGAAGUAGUUGAUGCCCUGCUUCCAGGAAAAGCCUCUAAGCUCUAGGUAACAUUGAAUCGUACCCCAAACCGACACAGGUGGUCAGGUAGAGAAUACCAAGGCGCUUGAGAGAACUCGGGUGAAGGAACUAGGCAAAAUGGUGCCGUAACUUCGGGAGAAGGCACGCUGGCAUGUAGGUGAAGUCCCUUGCGGAUGGAGCUGAAGCCAGUCGAAGAUACCAGCUGGCUGCAACUGUUUAAUAAAAACACAGCACUGUGCAAACACGAAAGUGGACGUAUACGGUGUGACGCCUGCCCGGUGCUGGAAGGUUAAUUGAUGGGGUCAGCCGCAAGGCGAAGCUCUUGAUCGAAGCCCCAGUAAACGGCGGCCGUAACUAUAACGGUCCUAAGGUAGCGAAAUUCCUUGUCGGGUAAGUUCCGACCUGCACGAAUGGCGUAAUGAUGGCCAGGCUGUCUCCACCCGAGACUCAGUGAAAUUGAACUCGCUGUGAAGAUGCAGUGUACCCGCGGCAAGACGGAAAGACCCCGUGAACCUUUACUAUAGCUUGACACUGAACAUUGAGCCUUGAUGUGUAGGAUAGGUGGGAGGCUUUGAAGCGUGGACGCCAGUCUGCGUGGAGCCAUCCUUGAAAUACCACCCUUUAAUGUUUGAUGUUCUAACUCGGCCCCAUAAUCUGGGGUGAGGACAGUGUCUGGUGGGUAGUUUGACUGGGGCGGUCUCCUCCCAAAGAGUAACGGAGGAGCACGAAGGUUAGCUAAUCACGGUCGGACAUCGUGAGGUUAGUGCAAAGGCAUAAGCUAGCUUGACUGCGAGAGUGACGGCUCGAGCAGGUACGAAAGUAGGUCUUAGUGAUCCGGUGGUUCUGAAUGGAAGGGCCAUCGCUCAACGGAUAAAAGGUACUCCGGGGAUAACAGGCUGAUACCGCCCAAGAGUUCAUAUCGACGGCGGUGUUUGGCACCUCGAUGUCGGCUCAUCACAUCCUGGGGCUGAAGUAGGUCCCAAGGGUAUGGCUGUUCGCCAUUUAAAGUGGUACGCGAGCUGGGUUUAGAACGUCGUGAGACAGUUCGGUCCCUAUCUGCCGUGGGCGUUGGAAGAUUGAGAGGGGUUGCUCCUAGUACGAGAGGACCGGAGUGAACGCACCACUGGUGUUCGGGUUGUCAUGCCAAUGGCAUUGCCCGGUAGCUAAGUGCGGAAAAGAUAAGCGCUGAAAGCAUCUAAGCGCGAAACUUGCCUCAAGAUGAGUCUUCCCUGGGCCUUUAAGG
rnacentral:rRNA from 1 species